rnacentral:rRNA from 2 species
GGAGCGUUCUGUAAGCCUGCGAAGGUGUGCUGUGAGGCAUGCUGGAGGUAUCAGAAGUGCGAAUGCUGACAUAAGUAACGAUAAAGCGGGUGAAAAGCCCGCUCGCCGGAAGACCAAGGGUUCCUGUCCAACGUUAAUCGGGGCAGGGUGAGUCGACCCCUAAGGCGAGGCCGAAAGGCGUAGUCGAUGGGAAACAGGUUAAUAUUCCUGUACUUGGUGUUACUGCGAAGGGGGGACGGAGAAGGCUAUGUUGGCCGGGCGACGGUUGUCCCGGUUUAAGCGUGUAGGCUGGUUUUCCAGGCAAAUCCGGAAAAUCAAGGCUGAGGCGUGAUGACGAGGCACUACGGUGCUGAAGCAACAAAUGCCCUGCUUCCAGGAAAAGCCUCUAAGCAUCAGGUAACAUCAAAUCGUACCCCAAACCGACACAGGUGGUCAGGUAGAGAAUACCAAGGCGCUUGAGAGAACUCGGGUGAAGGAACUAGGCAAAAUGGUGCCGUAACUUCGGGAGAAGGCACGCUGAUAUGUAGGUGAAGUCCCUUGCGGAUGGAGCUGAAAUCAGUCGAAGAUACCAGCUGGCUGCAACUGUUUAUUAAAAACACAGCACUGUGCAAACACGAAAGUGGACGUAUACGGUGUGACGCCUGCCCGGUGCCGGAAGGUUAAUUGAUGGGGUCAGCGCAAGCGAAGCUCUUGAUCGAAGCCCCGGUAAACGGCGGCCGUAACUAUAACGGUCCUAAGGUAGCGAAAUUCCUUGUCGGGUAAGUUCCGACCUGCACGAAUGGCGUAAUGAUGGCCAGGCUGUCUCCACCCGAGACUCAGUGAAAUUGAACUCGCUGUGAAGAUGCAGUGUACCCGCGGCAAGACGGAAAGACCCCGUGAACCUUUACUAUAGCUUGACACUGAACAUUGAGCCUUGAUGUGUAGGAUAGGUGGGAGGCUUUGAAGUGUGGACGCCAGUCUGCAUGGAGCCGGCCUUGAAAUACCACCCUUUAAUGUUUGAUGUUCUAACGUGGACCCGUGAUCCGGGUUGCGGACAGUGUCUGGUGGGUAGUUUGACUGGGGCGGUCUCCUCCUAAAGAGUAACGGAGGAGCACGAAGGUUGGCUAAUCCUGGUCGGACAUCAGGAGGUUAGUGCAAUGGCAUAAGCCAGCUUGACUGCGAGCGUGACGGCGCGAGCAGGUGCGAAAGCAGGUCAUAGUGAUCCGGUGGUUCUGAAUGGAAGGGCCAUCGCUCAACGGAUAAAAGGUACUCCGGGGAUAACAGGCUGAUACCGCCCAAGAGUUCAUAUCGACGGCGGUGUUUGGCACCUCGAUGUCGGCUCAUCACAUCCUGGGGCUGAAGUAGGUCCCAAGGGUAUGGCUGUUCGCCAUUUAAAGUGGUACGCGAGCUGGGUUUAGAACGUCGUGAGACAGUUCGGUCCCUAUCUGCCGUGGGCGCUGGAGAACUGAGGGGGGCUGCUCCUAGUACGAGAGGACCGGAGUGGACGCAUCACUGGUGUUCGGGUUGUCAUGCCAAUGGCACUGCCCGGUAGCUAAAUGCGGAAGAGAUAAGUGCUGAAAGCAUCUAAGCACGAAACUUGCCCCGAGAUGAGUUCUCCCUGACCCUUUAAGGGUCCUGAAGGAACGUUGAAGACGACGACGUUGAUAGGCCGGGUGUGUAAGCGCAGCGAUGCGUUGAGCUAACCGGUACUAAUGAACCGUGAGGCUUAACCUUACAACGCCGAAG